UACGUAGGGGGCAAGCGUUGUCCGGAAUCAUUGGGCGUAAAGAGCGUGUAGGCGGCUUGGCAAGUCUCGCGUGAAAUCCUGCGGCUCAACCGCAGGCGGUCGCGGGAAACUGCCUCGCUAGAGUCCGGAAGAGGAGAGUGGAAUUCCUGGUGUAGCGGUGGAAUGCGCAGAUAUCAGGAAGAACACCCGUGGCGAAGGCGGCUCUCUGGACAGUUCCUGACGCUGAGGCGCGAAGGCCAGGGGAGCAAACGGG
rnacentral:rRNA from 1 species